GACGAACGCUGGCGGCGUGCUUAACACAUGCAAGUCGAACGGAAAGGCCCUGCUUUUGUGGGGUGCUCGAGUGGCGAACGGGUGAGUAACACGUGAGUAACCUGCCCUUGACUUUGGGAUAACUUCAGGAAACUGGGGCUAAUACCGGAUAGGAGCUCCUGCUGCAUGGUGGGGGUUGAAAAGUUUCGGCGGUUGGGGAUGGACUCGCGGCUUAUCAGCUUGUUGGUGGGGUAGUGGCUUACCAAGGCUUUGACGGGUAGCCGGCCUGAGAGGGUGACCGGCCACAUUGGGACUGAGAUACGGCCCAGACUCCUACGGGAGGCAGCAGUGGGGAAUAUUGCACAAUGGGCGGAAGCCUGAUGCAGCAACGCCGCGUGCGGGAUGACGGCCUUCGGGUUGUAAACCGCUUUCGCCUGUGACGAAGCGUGAGUGACGGUAAUGGGUAAAGAAGCACCGGCUAACUACGUG
rnacentral:rRNA from 1 species